CACUUCAAAGGAAAUAUUACUUCGUCAUAUUGACAACUAAUAUUUUUGUUCGAAGCACAAACAAACAUUUCAAUAAUGUACUGUGACCAGCGUACAUGCUGUGCCAUGCACCAUAGCAAAUCCACUAUAUAAAGCACGUAAACCACGUAGUUUAAGUCGACCUACAUCGACCCGCUUAUCAAUCUGUCUCGAGCCGUCGGAUUGAACGGAUUGAAGGAAUAUAGAACAGGCUACAGUAUCAACCAUCAACUAUGAACACUAAAGCGUUCGUUGUGUCUUUCCUGAUUUUCCUACUGGAAACUCCCCAUCUGUUAGCUUUUGCUCAAGCAACUGGUGCCACCGACAUUGCAACUGGUGCCACCGAAAUUGAGCCAGAGCCGCGAACGGCAACAGAACAUACGAAAAACAGUGCGUGGAACAAAACCAAGAGUUGGGUCUCUACUCGGGUUCACGAAGGCGUGGAAAAGCUGAAGGACUUAUUUGGCUGAUGCCCAGUGUUACCGAGUAACAACCGAGUGCGUAGUGGGGCAUAUAGGUACAUAGGUACAUGAUAUGAAAGGUGAGGAUCAUUCAUAGUGGGGUAUAUAGAAAUUCUUUAUUAGUAAAGAUGAAGUAUAGACUAAAAAGCUAAUUUUGUGAGAUGUAAGAAAAUAUUAUAAGGGUGCCUCUAGAAUAUGAUGAGUCUUAAUCUCAAAUAGAUCUUAUUUUUGUGCUACUAA